UACGUAGGGGGCAAACGUUGUCCGGAAUCAUUGGGCGUAAAGCGCGUGUAGGCGGCCCGAUAAGUCCGCUGUGAAAGUCCAGGGCUCAACCCUGGGAUGCCGGUGGAUACUGUCGGGCUCGAGUCCGGAAGAGGCGAGUGGAAUUCCUGGUGUAGCGGUGAAAUGCGCAGAUAUCAGGAGGAACACCAAUGGCGAAGGCAGCUCGCUGGGACGUGACUGACGCUGAGACGCGAAAGCGUGGGGAGCAAACAGG
rnacentral:rRNA from 1 species